rnacentral:rRNA from 1 species
GACGAACGCUGGCGGCGUGCUUAACACAUGCAAGUCGAACGGAAAGGCCCUGCUUUUGUGGGGUGCUCGAGUGGCGAACGGGUGAGUAACACGUGAGUAACCUGCCCUUGACUUUGGGAUAACUUCAGGAAACUGGGGCUAAUACCGGAUAGGAGCUCCUGCUGCAUGGUGGGGGUUGGAAAGUUUCGGCGGUUGGGGAUGGACUCGCGGCUUAUCAGCUUGUUGGUGGGGUAGUGGCUUACCAAGGCUUUGACGGGUAGCCGGCCUGAGAGGGUGACCGGCCACAUUGGGACUGAGAUACGGCCCAGACUCCUACGGGAGGCAGCAGUGGUGAAUAUUGCACAAUGGGCGGAAGCCUGAUGCAGCAACGCCGCGUGCGGGAUGACGGCCUUCGGGUUGUAAACCGCUUUCGCCUGUGACGAAGCGUGAGUGACGGUAAUGGGUAAAGAAGCACCGGCUAACUACGU